AAGGCUAUACUUUCAGGAAUCAUUUCUAUAGUUGGUUACUAGAGAAGUUUCUCUGAUCGUGUAGAGUACCACAUUAAAUUCAAAGCUUAAACUAAGAGAGUU
ensembl:snoRNA U3 Small nucleolar RNA U3